UUUCCCUCCGCCGGUCCUUCCGCCCCGACUCAGUACGUCUGCUUCCUCCACCCCUCUCAGGGAUGGGAAGUAUCGUUUAGCGCUCCGUUGUACGGCUCGUUUUGGUGUCAGUGCGGCAGGAGGACGCUGCGGGGCGCUCUCCGCCGGGCAAAGAGGAGUAAAGCGGAGUAAAACGGAGUAAAGCGGAGCUGGGAGAUGCAUCGGGCUGUGUCCGGGCGUACCUGGAGGAAGCCCGGACCGAAGCGCUGGCCACAGUGAGUGACCGGGGCAGUUUGGGAAAAGGAGACGACCGCAUCCUGGGUGACAUCUGCCGGAGGGCACGGGGGAAGAAGAGUCAAGGCUUCGCCUCUCUGCCCUGCUCCGAGUGCAGCCGCUAUCUCUUUCCUGCCCGGGGAGCAAGCUGUGCGGGUGGCCCUUGCCCUGUGAGGGUCUGAAGCGCGGUCACACUGGGGCAGAUAACUUCCUUAAGGUCAGAAGUAUUACAGCGGUUGCAUCUGAUCAGUUGUGCUAGCAUUCACAGAUACCUUUGUGAAGUCUCUGCACAGUGCAUGUGUUUACUUCAGUGUCCUCUGGAGAGGGAUAGAGCCUUUCAAAUCAGGUGCAGCACAACUUGACUGCACCCCAAAUUUAUGUGUGCUGGGAGAAAAAAAGGAGUUAGGAGUCCUUCCUUUCUUCCACCUUUCCUACUGACGGAGUCUUCUCUGACCAAGAGAGCAACUCUCACAAAUGACCUCGAGAGACUUUACAGUAUACCCCUAGCCUGAAAUGAUGGAAGAUUUACAUCAGAUAUAAGGAAGAAAUAUUUUACAGUAAGGAUGACGAGGCACUGGAACAGGUUGCCCAGCAAGAUGGUGGAAGCCCUGUCUUUGGAGACGUUCAAGGGUAGAAGAGAUUUUGAAGUGAUACUUCUGUACUGUUUGUCAGCUUCAAACAGCUUUAAGCUUGUAAGUAGGAAUAUUGUUCUCAUCAACAGCUGGUCAGGGGUGAGCAGAAACUACUAUAUAACUGGCACAGAUCUAGAUUCCAUCAAGAAAGAAGUAGGCAGAACCAAUGCUGUUUCUAUUUGGAACUGGGUGAAGGCAGACAAUAAGUCAGAACCCUUCAGCACCCAAAUGAGCACUGUAUCCAGCCUUGGAUCUUCUUUGGCAGAUUGCUCAGGAGAGUCUUAUGUGUAAUGUGUCAUCCUGGCAUAUCCGUAUCUAACUGUGGUUAAUCCACCAAUUUUUUUCCCAAAAGCACAUCUAUCUUACCUAUUUCUGCACACCCUUCCUCUGUGAUGCAUCCUUUUCUUCAAAUCCUCAUGCUAGCCCAGAAAUGUAACAGUUCAGUUCACAUGAGUUCUCUCAAAUGGGCAUUCAAAUGAUUAGGCUCAGAUUAAAAUCCCACUGAUUAUAUGCUUUAAGUAGACUCAAAAUAUCUUUGUCAGAUGUCUUUAACCUCUCCAGCUGUCCUGUUGGUGAACACGAGUCAGAAGCUGAAGUUCUAUCCAGCUGAACUUGGAAGUCUUAACUGUUAAGCCAUUAGGGUAAUGUAUUUGGCAGUUUAAAGAUGUGGACUGGUGAAUUGCUGCAGUGACAGCAGCCUUUUUGGAAUGCUGCCUUGUUUUUUUUUUUAUUAUUAUUAUUAUUUAGUUAGUUAGUUAGUUGGAGAAGAGAGUCUCUCAGGCCUUUGUUUUCUUCUACACACUGAAAAUGAUAUUUUCUGGAAGAACUGAGCUUACUGUGGGCUGAUAAUGUUGAUUUGGUUUUUUGUUGUUGGUGGUUUUUUUGUUUUGUUUUUUUUUUUAAGUGUUCAUGGAAGUUCCUCAGACAGGUUGUGUCUGAAUGUUUUGUACACUGCCUAUGAAGAAAUGAGAAAUCAGUGCGUUCUCCCAAAUACCACAACUUACAGCACCUGAUACAGGAGGUAGCUCUCUUGUUCAGGGCUGCUCUGUAACGUUUCAUUUUGGAGAGGAACUUGAAAAAGCAACGAGCAAGAGUGGAUUAGACACAGAUACUGAAAAAUAAAGUUCUGCUUGUUCGGAUUCAGUGCAUGUGGAGAAAGAAAACGAAUCAACGAGUCUUGUGGCUAUCCAAAAAAAUGAACAGUACUUGAAUCAACUGCACGAGGACAGCACAAAACCUAGAAGACAUUCACUUUGAAAGAGCAACCUCUUAAAAGCUCUCUGGAAUUUUGUCUACCUUGUGUACUGCAAUCAGUUGCAUCAUCAAGACAAAAUCUCAAAGGCUGUCCCAGGUUCAAGGAGGAUUAACUCAAAGCCAGGCCUCUUAGGAACGUUCUUAAGCAGAUCCUGACGUGUGCAGAGUUUGGUCUCCUAGGAAAAGAGGCUCUUACUUAAGUGGCAUAGUGCCUUGUUUUAAAGGCAGAAAGCAUGGAUUAAAUUUGGUUCUGAAGUGCUGUGCAUAGCGUUUCAUGCUACAGAUUUUCAAGGAGAGUUUACUUGUGCCCUUUGAUACUUGCUCCAGGGGCAGUAUUUGUGCAGGCCCGGUGACUGCUUUAUCUUUUGCCUUCACUGUGAUCAAUAUAGGCAAAUAAUUAAAAUAACUGAAUUUGAAACAUCAUAGAGCGUCUGAGAGUUAAGGUAGCCAAGAAAGACGAGCUUUUUAUCAUAGCAACAAUGCAACCACCUUUGAAUGUCACGUACUGCAGCCACAAAAAGAAGAGUAUUGCCUUGAAACCUAUCACCUUACCUCAGCUCCCAUGUCAUUGUCAGUUGUUGUUUUGUACUGUGCUACUUGUCCUUAGGAAAAUCUGUGGGCUAGCGUGUGGGAAGUUGACAUAGACUUUACUCUGGGUCUGAUGUAAGAGGAAUUCAUACAGGCUGCUAUUGCCCUGUUGAGCUGUUCUUUGGCUAUCACUGAAGUAUAGUAUAGAAUAGUAAAGAAUUGCUAUAUGAGGGUUAUUCUUUGUGACAUCUGCUUUUAAGUAUAUAUGAAACUGUGCUAUCGAACAAGAUUCCAUCUCAAAGCUGAGAUAUCUGUUGCCAACAUUCACUCAGGAGAGGGCAGGGCUGCCAUGAGAGGAAGAAACUGAUGCUGCUGAGAUUUUAAGUAUAGAUGAUGUCACAAUAAAUAGCAAGCUAUAUGAGUAGCUUUAUUCCGCUGGCUUUCAGCCCACCUUGGAAGCAAGGUCUGGCGACAGCGCGCUCCUCCCUUGCUGCUCCCCUUCUCCCCCUGGCCCGCCCCUGCGGCUCCCUCAGUCCCGCCCCGGAGCAGCAGACGAGGACCCAUUGGCCCCCGCCCUCCUCUUCUUUGCAUAGGGGAGGCCGUGUCCGCCCCAGGCACCGCCCCUCACGGGUGUGCAGCCGUGCGCGCGCUGUUGUGGCACGUGAGGGCGGCGCACGUGGGUCCGUUAUGUAAAGCAC
rnacentral:lncRNA from 1 species